rnacentral:misc_RNA from 1 species
AGAAGGAUCAUUAGUGAUUGGUAUUCGUACCGUAAAAGGAGCCCUCCCACUCGUCUGGGAGCUCCGACCCCCCCACUAUUAUCCACAUACACCUGUGCAUACCGGUUGAUCAGCUACUGUCGCCAAGCGGCUCCUAGCUUGAUCAGCCGCUUUUUAUACAAACACAAUGUCGUUUGGAUGUUCUUAUUCUACGUCGCGCUUAACCGCGUUGAUGAAACAAAAACGAAAACUUUCGACAACGGAUCUCUUGGUUCUCCCAUCGAUGAAGAACGCAGCGAAAUGCGAUAUGUAAUGUGAAUUGCAGAAUUCAGUGAAUCAUCGAAUCUUUGAACGCACCUUGCGCUCUUGGGUAUUCCCAAGAGCAUGCCUGUUGGAGUGUCAUGAAUCCCUCAACACGAACCGUUUUUUAAUGAAAGCGAGUUUGAUCGUUGGAUGUGAGCGCAAUGCCUUUCGCAAGAAUGGCUCGCUUGAAAUGGAUUUGUGGGCUGCUCAUGUGCACAACAAUGUGCUCGGAUAGCAUCUUGGCCUUUUCAUCGUUAUGGUUUUCCUUCGAUGAAGUCUGGGCCUUGAGGCAACAUGUUCGAGCGGGCAUUGGCACCGAGUUGGCUUGCUUUCUAACCCAAUCUAAUUCAUCACAUCUGGCCUCCAAUCAGGUAGGACUACCCGCUGAACUUAAGCAUAUCAAUAAGCGGAGGAAGAGAAACUAACAAGGAUUCCCCUAGUAACGGCGAGUGAAGCGGGAAGAGCUCAAAUUUGAAAGCUGGCCGCAAGGUCCGCAUUGUAAUCUCGAGAAGUGUUUUCCGCGUUGGACUGCGUACAAGUCCCUUGGAAUAGGGCGUCGUAGAGGGUGAGAAUCCCGUACUUGAUGCAGCCACCAACGCUUUGUGAUACACUCUCCACGAGUCGAGUUGUUUGGGAAUGCAGCUCAAAAUGGGUGGUAAAUUCCAUCUAAAGCUAAAUAUUGGGGAGAGACCGAUAGCGAACAAGUACCGUGAGGGAAAGAUGAAAAGCACUUUGGAAAGAGAGUUAAACAGUACGUGAAAUUGUCGAAAGGGAAGCGCUUGAAGUCAGCUAUGCUGGCCGGGAUUCAGCCAUGCUUUUGCUCGGUGUAUUUCCCGGUGUUGCAGGUCAGCAUCGGUUUUGGCUGCUGGAUAAGGGUAGGAGGAAUGUGGCACCUUCGGGUGUGUUAUAGCCUCCUGCUGGAUACAGCGGCUGGGACCGAGGAACGCAGUGCGCCCUUUUGGGUGGGCCUUCGGGUACCUUCGCACUUUGGAUGCUGGCGUAAUGGCUUUAAGCGACCCGUCUUGAAACACGGACCAAGGAGUCUAACAUGUUUGCGAGUCUUUGGGUGGCAAACCCGAGGGCGCAAUGAAAGUGAAUGCAGGUGGGAUCCGCAAGGAGCACCAUCGACCGAUCCGGAUCUUCUGUGAUGGAUUUGAGUAAGAGCAAUUAUGUUGGGACCCGAAAGAUGGUGAACUAUGCCUGCAUAGGGCGAAGCCAGAGGAAACUCUGGUGGAGGCUCGUAGCGGUUCUGACGUGCAAAUCGAUCGUCAAAUGUGGGUAUAGGGGCGAAAGACUAAUCGAACCAUCUAGUAGCUGGUUCCUGC